GCAUCUUCUUGUUAUUAAAGAAUUUCGAUAACCGAUGGGGAUGCGUUCCAUUAGUUUGUUGGCGGGGUAACGGCCCACCAAGACAUCGAUGGGUAGGGGUUCUGAGAGGAAGGUCCCCCACAUUGGAACUGAGACACGGUCCAAACUCCUACGGGAGGCAGCAGUGAGGAAUAUUGGUCAAUGGACGAGAGUCUGAACCAGCCAAGUAGCGUGAAGGAUGACUGCCCUAUGGGUUGUAAACUUCUUUUAUAUGGGAAUAAAGUGAGCCACGUGUGGCUUUUUGUAUGUACCAUACGAAUAAGGAUCGGCUAACUCCGUGCCAGCAGCCGCGGUAAUACGGAGGAUCCGAGCGUUAUCCGGAUUUAUUGGGUUUAAAGGGAGCGUAGGCGGACUAUUAAGUCAGCUGUGAAAGUUUGCGGCUCAACCGUAAAAUUGCAGUUGAUACUGGUCGUCUUGAGUGCAGUAGAGGUAGGCGGAAUUCGUGGUGUAGCGGUGAAAUGCUUAGAUAUCACGAAGAACUCCGAUUGCGAAGGCAGCUUACUGGACUGUAACUGACGCUGAUGCUCGAAGGUGUGGGUAUCAAACAGGAUUAGAUACCCUGGUAGUCCACACAGUAAACGAUGAAUACUCGCUGUUUGCGAUAUACAGCAAGCGGCC
rnacentral:rRNA from 1 species